rnacentral:rRNA from 1 species
AAUAGAUACCCAGGUAGUCCACGCCGUAAACGAUGGAUACUAGCUGUUUGAGCGCAAGUUUGAGUGGCUAAGCGAAAGUGAUAAGUAUCCCACCUGGGGAGUACGGGCGCAAGCCUGAAACUCAAAGGAAUUGACGGGGGCCCGCACAAGCGGUGGAGCAUGUGGUUUAAUUCGAUGAUACGCGAGGAACCUUACCAGGGCUUAAAUGUAGAUUGACGUAUUUGGAAACAGAUAUUUCUUCAGACAAUUUACAAGGUGCUGCAUGGUUGUCGUCAGCUCGUGCCGUGAGGUGUCAGGUUAAGUCCUAUAACGAGCGCAACCCCUGUUGUUAGUUGCCAACGAGUAAUGUCGGGAACUCUAGCAAGACUGCCAGUGUAAACUGUGAGGAAGGUGGGGAUGACGUCAAAUCAUCACGGCCCUUACGUCCUGGGCCACACACGUGCUACAAUGGCCGGUACAGAGAGCAGCCACUUAGCGAUAAGGAGCGAAUCUAUAAAGCCGGUCACAGUUCGGA